UACAUGCUCCACUGUUUUCGUGGCAAUGGCAUGUUUACUGGAUUAGUUUGUAGUGAUGGUGAUUACUUUGAUCUGGCUAGUAGCACGUUUUGGUAAUACUUUGCUUUCAUGUAAUAGUGUCGAUGCGCUUGGAGUUAUGUUUUUAGAUAUGGUCUCAACAGCAUACGUGUCUGAUUUAAAACUUCAUCAAACAGAUGAAAAAUUUUAUAUAGCAGAGUUUAUCCACAACCUAAAACAAUGGCAUGAUUGUCUUUUCAUAGUUGGGAAACAUGAAGAGGAAAUUG